rnacentral:tRNA from 1 species
GCUCCGGUAGCGCAAAUGGAAGAGGCAUCAGGUUUAAGCCCUGUCAAGUUCCGGUUCGAAUCCGGAUCGGAGUA